rnacentral:rRNA from 1 species
CUAUACAUGCAAGUGGAACGCAUGAUUGAUACCGGAGCUUGCUCCACCAUUAAUCAUGAGUCGCGAACGGGUGAGUAACGCGUAGGUAACCUGCCUGAUAGYGGGGGAUAACUAUUGGAAACGAUAGCUAAUACCGCAUAAGAGUCGUUAACACAUGUUAAUGAUUUAAAAGGAGCAAUUGCUUCACUAUCAGAUGGACCUGCGUUGUAUUAGCUAGUUGGUGAGGUAACGGCUCACCAAGGCUCGAUACAUAGCCGACCUGAGAGGGUGAUCGGCCACACUGGGACUGAGACACGGCCCAGACUCCUACGGGAGGCAGCAGUAGGGAAUCUUCGGCAAUGGGGGCAACCCUGACCGAGCAACGCCGCGUGAGUGAAGAAGGUUUUCGGAUCGUAAAGCUCUGUUAUAAGCGAAGAACGGGAGUAAGAGUGGAAAGUUUACUCUGUGACGGUAGCUUAUCAGAAAGGGACGGCUAACUACGUGCCAGCAGCCGCGGUAAUACGUAGGUCCCGAGCGUUGUCCGGAUUUAUUGGGCGUAAAGCGAGCGCAGGUGGUUUAAUAAGUCUGAAGUUAAAGGCAUUGGCUCAACCAAUGUACGCUUUGGAAACUGUUGAACUUGAGUGCAGAAGGGGAGAGUGGAAUUCCAUGUGUAGCGGUGAAAUGCGUAGAUAUAUGGAGGAACACCGGUGGCGAAAGCGGCUCUCUGGUCUGUAACUGACACUGAGGCUCGAAAGCGUGGGUAGGCGAACAGGAUUAGAUAC